rnacentral:tRNA from 1 species
GGCGUCUGGUGUAGUUGGUUUAUCACCAUGCGCUUUAGCAUGACGCGAGGUUCCCCGGUUCGAUUCGGUGGGUGUCG